GCCAGCAUGCCAUAGUGGUUUGAGUACUGGACUACAACUCUGGUGGCCAGGGUUUGAAUCCCAGCUUGGUCA